UUUGUUAUUAAUUUGAUUUAUAUGUAAAUUUUUGUGUGAAAUUUUAUUAAUUUAAAAAAUUAAUAAAUUAUUUAUAGCCGCAGUAAUUAGUUUUAUUUAUUAAAGAAAUUUAGAAAUAGUAAUAUUAAAAAGUAUAGAUUAAAUUGGUGCCAGCAAUCGCGGUUAUACCAAUUAUACAAAUGAAUUUUUUUAGUAAAAGUUAGAUUAAUUAGUUAAUAUUAAAUAAAAUUGAAUUUAUUAAGUGAAAUUUUAAAUUUAAAAUUUUUAUAAAAUUAUUAAUUGAAGCUUAAAAAUUUUAAUUAA
rnacentral:rRNA from 1 species